rnacentral:rRNA from 1 species
UUUGGCCUACGGGGCGCAGCAGUGGGGAAUAUUGCACAAUGGGGGAAACCCUGAUGCAGCGACGCCGCGUGAGCGAAGAAGUAUUUCGGUGUGUAAAGCUCUAUCAGCAGGGAAGAAAAAUGACGGUACCUGAGUAAGAAGCACCGGCUAAAUACGUGCUAGCAGCCGCGGUAAUACGUAUGGUGCAAGCGUUAUCCGGAUUUACUGGGUGUAAAGGGAGCGUAGGUGGCAGGGCAAGUCAGAUGUGAAAGCCCGGGGCUCAACCCCGGUACUGCAUUUGAAACUGUCCAGCUGGAGUGCAGGAG